rnacentral:rRNA from 1 species
AGUGAACGCUGGCGGUAGGCCUAACACAUGCAAGUCGAACGGCAGCACAGUAAGAGCUUGCUCUUACGGGUGGCGAGUGGCGGACGGGUGAGGAAUACAUCGGAAUCUACUUUUUCGUGGGGGAUAACGUAGGGAAACUUACGCUAAUACCGCAUACGACCUACGGGUGAAAGCAGGGGAUCUUCGGACCUUGCGCGAUUGGAUGAGCCGAUGUCGGAUUAGCUAGUUGGCGGGGUAAAGGCCCACCAAGGCGACGAUCCGUAGCUGGUCUGAGAGGAUGAUCAGCCACACUGGAACUGAGACACGGUCCAGACUCCUACGGGAGGCAGCAGUGGGGAAUAUUGGACAAUGGGCGCAAGCCUGAUCCAGCCAUACCGCGUGGGUGAAGGAGGCCUUCGGGUUGUAAAGCCCUUUUGUUGGGAAAGAAAAGCAGCAGGUUAAUACCCCGCUGUUCUGACGGUACCCAAAGAAUAAGCACCGGCUAACUUCGUG